rnacentral:rRNA from 1 species
CACGUAGGGCGCAAGCGUUGUCCGGAAUUAUUGGGCGUAAAGAGCUCGUAGGCGGUCUGUUGCGUCGGCUGUGAAAACCCGAGGCUCAACCUCGGGCCUGCAGCCGAUACGGGCAGACUAGAGUUCGGCAGGGGAGACUGGAAUUCCUGGUGUAGCGGUGAAAUGCGCAGAUAUCAGGAGGAACACCGGUGGCGAAGGCGGGUCUCUGGGCCGAUACUGACGCUGAGGAGCGAAAGCGUGGGGAGCGAACAGG